AGGUCCUAGGGUAUGUAUGUCUUAUUCACAACUAUAUCUCCAGUGUAGUAUGCUGAGGUGCUUCCUAUUAUAAAUGUCUGUGAACUGAAUAUACAAACCAGGAGAUUAAAGCAUUACAAAAGCCAGAGAAGUGGACUUUCCAUUGUAAUGUAAAAGUAUAAUCAUGCAUCUAAAAAGGAACAUUUCUACUACAAUAAACUUCUUGAUGAGGAAUAUCAGCCAGAGAAAAUCAAGGAAUCACAAUAUGCAUGGCCUUGGCUUAGACUACCAGCACCUAUUUCUCAGUCCUAUGAACACAGUCUGUUAGGGAAAACAGUUAGUGCGGGACCCAACAAAUAACAGCCCUGUCUGUGUGUUUACUAUUGUUAUCAUUAUUAGAAGGUUAUAAUCUGACCAUUAGUCCAUCUAAAUAGAUAUAAAAAUAAGUUGUCAUAAUGGAACUGGGCUGUCUAAAUAAGUAGCCUACAAUAGCUGACCUUAUGUUAAGAAAUUAAAAUACCCACACAUACCCACGUUUCCUAAUGCACAUGAAGACACCCUACUUCAAACACAUGAGUAAGCCAAUGGCCUUUGGCCACAGAUCCACAGACCAACAUCUGAGGACAGUGUGCAUAAAUGCUUUUGGCAAUAUCUUCUAGGAUUUUCUAUAAACCAGCAUCGAGCCAAUUUAUCUGACCUCCUUGAUCUGCACAGCCAUCCGGCACCUACAGCUAUUUUCUAGAGGCCUGAAUGAGUCAAAAGAAGAAAAUGAUUAAUCAACUCGCCGAGAUUUGAAAGCUGGAAGAGAGCCAUCCUGGUCCCUAUCGCUGACGGGUGUGUCACAAGGCACUCGUUGAGCAAUGACAGCUGUUGCUCCCGCCACACUGGCUUGCGGAGAGGGCCUGGGGAUUUUUGCCUUUUGGCCCACAGGUGGUGCUAGUGGGACUGUCAGUCAAGGUUCGGGGACUGCCCCCAGCCAAGGGGUAGACUUAUAACCCAAGCCAAACAGCCAAUCAGAAUCUCUUCUGGAAAUGUGACUAAUUUGCUGAACAAUAAAAACCAGGAAAUGCCUGGAGUGGAUGCAUCCCAGAAGUGCUGCCAUGAUCUAACCAUCAGUUUCUGUUUCCUUUUCCUGGAGCUAUCCUGAUCUGGAACGCUGUUGGUUCUACUUUUCCUUCAAUUUUAUGACCUAUUCCACAUCCACAGAAAACUGUUGUUUUCUUUUAAGUUAGUCAUAAUUAGUUUCUGUUUCCUGUAAUCAAAGAGUCUCAACCAAUAUAAUCCACAUUACAUUGCAUCAAAAAGUCAUCUGUGUUAGGCUGUUCUACAGUUUGAUGCCUUUUGUAACCUCUCAGCUAGGUAUAAGCCUGUUUUCUGUACCUUCUCAGCCUUGGAUACACAGUUGAAAAAUUUUAACUGAUUCUGAAGAGCAGGGACAAAAUGCUUUGACAUGUUAGAAAUAAUGAGUUGCUUCAACCUGGUCAAGUUGAAGUUUUUGUAUGAGAUAAGGAUGUCACAGCCUGGCCACUAACGGCACCAGAUACUGGUCAAAACCAUUCCGUCACUCCCUGACCCACUAAUGUACACGUGGCAAUCCAGAGAGCAGGGCAGGAUACAAAGACACAACUGAUUUAUAAUACAGCUCUGAUCCUGGCCCCCAAGGAAAAGGCUUGUGUGACCCAAAGAUCUAGCAAGGCCCACCCUGGGGCUGGGGCUACUUGCCCAGCUGGUUACAGUUUUCAGGGCCAGCCUCUCUGUCUGGACAUGGGGUGACCAACAGGCUGAAGAGGGCACCCUGCCCAGCAUGCGCAAGGGACCCUGCAGGAAUGGGGCUGAGCCGAGGACAGAAGACUGGGUCCUCGUCACUCGCACCGUCCGGAGGCUGCUCUACUCGGAGACGGGCUGUGAGCAGGUUGACCCUGACUCCACUGCAGAUGUCUACUCCCUGGGGUCAUUUCUUGGUCACCCAGCCACAUAGAAGACCGUGAAAGUGGCGGUUCCUAUCAUAGUGGAGGUGAGUAAGCCAGAGGCAUCUUACAUAAUGUCACACUCUUACCUACAUGAAAAAUGUCCAGAAGUUUCAACAUCUUGAUUCUCAUCGCAUACCAUUCUAAAAUGCAGUGAGUGUGUUGCUCAUCUUAUCCACACAGGCCCCUCGGGGGAAGGGUUUUAUAAGAAGUGCUAACUGCCAAGAAUUCCACAGGUGGGCCAAGAACGCGAUUAAGCCAACAGGGACCAGGUUCCCCGGUUCCUGGCCAUGGAAAGGGUGAGCCUGGCCAGCAGGGCGACCGUAAAUCAGUAUAAAAGGCCAAAAUAUGUACAACUCAAUGUAGGAGAAAAGAGCUACUUCUCAGAUGUCUAUUUAUAAAUGAGCUUUCAAUUUAUGAACUUUCAAAAAUACAAAGGUAUGUCUUAAAAGGUGCCAGUCAACUUUGCCCAUCAACACAAGAGAUUAGCUCUUGCACGAAGCAUUUCCUUGGGGGCUUAGCAACAAGUAGACUUUGGAACCUGUAUCUUUACAAGUUAAGAACUUCCGUGGUGUUUUUAGAGAACAUUAGGUUUUCUCCCCAAAUCUGCUAGCUUCUAGGGCUCCAGAGAGGUCACUGAGAAAAUCACACUUGAUUCCCACACUCACAAUCUACAGAAUGCUACGAAACCUGAGACCUAGAAGGGACCUUAGCAGUCACUUAGAUUAAAUUCCAUCAUCUUGCAAAGGUCAAACUGCAUGUGAGGUCCAACCACAAAGUAAUUACCUUGAUCUUCUCCACCUUCCCCCCAAAAGAAGUAGUUACUUGAUGUAAGUCACAUAGCUGGUCGGCGGCCAGUCUAAAUCUAGCACACAGACCACCUCACUUCUUUCCCGAGCUUGUUUCACUAUGUUAACUGCUCUAAAACAAAGUUACUAAAUUCUCAUUCAUUCAUUCAUUCAGCACAAAUUUAUGAAACACAUCUGAUAUGCCUGGAGCUGUUAUAGGUCAGCACAAAAUAAUGAAUAAAACGAAGUUCCUUUAAAAUACAAAUCGACCCUGACU